AACGAACGCUGGCGGCAUGCCUAACACAUGCAAGUCGAACGAGACCUUCGGGUCUAGUGGCGCACGGGUGCGUAACGCGUGGGAAUCUGCCCUUGGGUUCGGAAUAACAGUUGGAAACGACUGCUAAUACCGGAUGAUGACGUAAGUCCAAAGAUUUAUCGCCCAAGGAUGAGCCCGCGUAGGAUUAGCUAGUUGGUGAGGUAAAGGCUCACCAAGGCGACGAUCCUUAGCUGGUCUGAGAGGAUGAUCAGCCACACUGGGACUGAGACACGGCCCAGACUCCUACGGGAGGCGGGAGGGGGGAAUAUUGAACAGUGGGGGAAAGCCUGAUCCACCUAGGCCGGGGGAGUGAUGAAGGCCUUAGGGUAGAAAAGCUUUUUUACCCGGGAUGAUAAUGACAGUACCGGGAGAAUAAGCUCCGGCUAACUCCGUG
rnacentral:rRNA from 1 species